rnacentral:tRNA from 1 species
GGCCGAGUUAAUGGAAAACACCUGCCUUCUAAGCAGGUUGUCGCAGGUUCGAUUCCUGCAGGGGUCGCCA